AUUUUUUCCUCAUUAAUUUGACGUAGUGUGUAGUGGGUAAAAAAUUCAGAAACGAAUUUCAGAAUAAUAUUUCACAUACAUUUUUUAUGUGUUUGCAACUAAGAAUUUUAAGCGAUGUGUGAUAAAAAAUACGUACUUAUGUCCAAUUUGAGGUGAAAUUAUAAUUAGGUACAAAUUAAAUAUUAACACACCAUUAAAACUGAUUGCAUUCUUUUGUUUAAAUUAUAAAAAAAAUAAGACAUUAUUUCUUUGUAAUUUUUAAUAUUAAUCAACAAGGGUAGAUAUAGGUUAGGCAACAAUUCUGUAACGUAUUUAAUUCGUGCAAAUAUUUGUCACUUGAUUCGUUAUUUUAUUACUUAAUAAUGUAAACACAUUUUUUAAUAACAAUAAGCAAAUUUGUUUUCCUAAAACAUGUCGAAAUAGUUGUGUGUGAUAACGCGGUCAUACAAUUAAUGUGCCAGUAAUGCCUGAUACUAAAAUUGAAAAAUAUGCGAUUAAUAUCGUUUCAGACAUCACAAAAACCAAAAAUAUUCCUUGUAAACUUGUGAUAUAAAAAUCUCCCGUUAAAUAUGUUCAGCGACAUUAAUUUUUGGAUAUUAUUUUAGCCAGUUGAAAAUCUAUAGAUAGUCGGGCGAUUAA